CAAUUUCUGCUAGGAAUUCGGAGACUCCCCUGCAGCGACUCGGAAGAUUCGAGGCGGCGGGGGACAAGUCGGCGCCCCAGAGCGGACGAGCCCUGGUUCUGGGACUAGGAGGACAAGACACUUCUUGUACCAAGAGAAUGCUGCUUUGAGUAGAGUUUAUUCAUGAGAAUAUACCUUGCCUGCCACAUUGAGAGAAGCCCAUUACAUUCAUCAUAGUAAGCCUUUAGUAACUAUUUCUUGAUUGACUGAAUGAGUGGAAUUACACAAUCUUCUCACUUGAAUAGCAGUUGGAAAACUGGUUGAGGCAGGUCGGGGUUUAAUACAACAGCAGACGGCCAUGUAUGGAGAGAAAACCCAGGAAGAGGAACUGGCAUGUUUAGAGCAACAAAGGUGAACAGUGAAGUCACCAGGUGUCAAGAUGCUGCAAGUACAUAGGACUGGACUGGGCAGGCUGGGGGUCAGCCUCUCCAAGGGUCUUCACCACAAAGCUGUGUUGGCCGUCCGGAGGGAGGAUGUGAACGCCUGGGAGAGAAGGGCCCCUCUAGCUCCCAAGCACAUCAAAGGCAUCACCAAUCUGGGAUACAAGGUCUUGAUACAGCCUUCGAAUCGGCGGGCCAUUCAUGAUAAGGACUAUGUCAAAGCUGGUGGCAUUCUUCAGGAGGAUAUUUCUGAAGCUUGUCUAAUUUUAGGAGUUAAAAGACCUCCAGAGGAAAAAUUAAUGUCCAGGAAGACUUAUGCAUUUUUCUCCCACACAAUAAAAGCUCAGGAGGCCAAUAUGGGCUUGUUGGAUGAGAUUCUAAAACAGGAAAUUCGCCUUAUUGAUUAUGAGAAAAUGGUGGAUCAUAGAGGAGUACGGGUAGUGGCAUUUGGACAGUGGGCUGGUGUGGCAGGAAUGAUCAACAUUUUACAUGGAAUGGGUUUAAGGCUCCUUGCUUUGGGACAUCACACACCUUUUAUGCACAUUGGCAUGGCUCAUAACUACAGGAAUAGCAGUCAGGCUGUGCAAGCUGUCCGUGAUGCUGGCUAUGAAAUAUCUUUGGGUUUGAUGCCUAAGUCAAUAGGACCCUUAACAUUUGUGUUCACAGGAACUGGUAAUGUUUCUAAGGGAGCCCAAGCAAUCUUUAAUGAGCUACCUUGUGAAUAUGUGGAGCCCCAUGAAUUAAAAGAAGUUUCCCAAACUGGAGACCUCAGAAAAGUGUAUGGGACGGUGUUAAGUCGUCAUCAUCAUCUUGUCAGGAAAACAGAUGCUGUGUAUGAUCCUGCAGAGUAUGACAAACAUCCGGAGCGCUACAUAAGUCGUUUUAAUACUGAUAUUGCACCCUAUACAACUUGCUUAAUUAAUGGAAUCUACUGGGAACAAAACACUCCUCGCCUCCUAACCCGCCAAGAUGCUCAGAGUCUCCUGGCUCCAGGCAAGUUCUCACCUGCUGGUGUGGAAGGCUGCCCUGCAUUACCACACAAACUUGUGGCAAUAUGUGACAUUUCAGCUGACACAGGAGGGUCUAUAGAGUUUAUGACUGAGUGUACAACAAUAGAGCGUCCCUUUUGCAUGUAUGAUGCAGACCAGCAUAUUAUUCAUGACAGUGUUGAAGGCUCGGGGAUCCUGAUGUGUUCCAUUGACAAUUUGCCGGCACAGCUCCCAAUUGAAGCUACAGAAUGCUUUGGAGAUAUGCUUUACCCUUAUGUUGAAGAAAUGAUAUUAUCAGAUGCGACACAGCCUCUUGAAAGUCAGAAUUUUUCUCCUGUGGUGAGAGAUGCAGUGAUUACAUCCAACGGUACAUUACCUGAUAAAUAUAAAUAUAUCCAGACACUCCGGGAGAGCAGGGAACGUGCUCAGUCACUUUCAAUGGGCACCAGGAGAAAGGUUUUGGUUCUUGGAUCUGGCUACGUAUCUGAGCCUGUAUUAGAAUAUUUAUCAAGAGAUGGCAAUAUAGAAAUAACAGUAGGAUCUGACAUGAAGAAUCAAAUUGAACAGUUAGGCAAGAAAUAUAAUAUUAAUCCUGUUAGCAUGGACAUUUGUAAACAAGAAGAGAAGCUGGGCUUCUUGGUGGCAAAACAGGAUCUUGUCAUCAGCUUGUUGCCUUAUGUAUUGCACCCUCUUGUGGCCAAGGCCUGCAUCACAAACAAAGUUAACAUGGUCACUGCAAGCUACAUCACACCAGCACUAAAAGAAUUGGAAAAGAGUGUGGAAGAUGCCGGCAUCACAAUCAUUGGUGAAUUGGGAUUGGACCCUGGUCUGGAUCACAUGUUAGCAAUGGAAACAAUAGAUAAAGCCAAGGAAGUGGGAGCCACGAUUGAAUCAUAUAUUUCCUACUGUGGUGGGCUUCCAGCCCCUGAACAUUCAAACAAUCCAUUGAGAUAUAAAUUUAGCUGGAGUCCAGUGGGAGUUUUGAUGAACGUAAUGCAGUCUGCCACCUAUCUGCUCGAUGGAAAGGUUGUGAAUAUUGCAGGAGGCAUCUCCUUUCUUGAUGCCGUUACGUCCAUGGAUUUUUUCCCAGGAUUAAAUUUGGAAGGCUAUCCUAACAGAGACAGUACGAAAUAUGCUGAGAUUUAUGGCAUUUCUUCUGCUCACACUUUGUUGCGGGGGACACUGAGAUAUAAGUGUUCACGGGAGUUUCAAGUGCUGUGCGAUGGCAGAGUGGUGGCAGUGCUCCCAGCCUCUCAGGAUCAAAUUCAGUGGGAAUAAAAAAUGAUACCGUUCUAAUAGCCAAAAAUACGAUUUUUGUCUCAUUAGCUCCCUAAGGGAUUGGAAUGCUGAAUAAUGGAUUGGAAUGUUGAAUAAUGUUGAAUACCUUCCUAUGGUAUUCUCCCUAACUCCUUCCCCUUGAACCACCCAGCCCCAUCUAUGGAUAUAUGAAAGCUUUGAAUGGAUUUGUAAAAUUAGGUCUUAUAAACAGAGAAGCGCUUCCUGCCUUUAGACCUGAGGCCAACCCUCUCACCUGGAAACAACUCCUCUGUGACCUAGUUGGGAUUUCACCCUCCUCUGAGCACGAUGUGUUGAAGGAAGCUGUUCUUAAGAAACUAGGAGGAGACAAUACCCAGUUGGAGGCUGCUGAAUGGUUGGGCUUACUUGGGGAUGAACAAGUUCCUCAGGCAGAGUCCAUUCUGGAUGCCCUCUCCAAGCAUUUGGUCAUGAAGCUUUCCUAUGGUCCUGAAGAAAAAGAUAUGAUUGUGAUGAGAGACAGCUUUGGAAUCAGACAUCCUUCUGGACAUUUAGAACAUAAAACGAUUGAUCUUGUGGCUUAUGGGGACAUCAAUGGCUUUUCAGCCAUGGCUAAAACCGUGGGGUUACCCACCGCCAUGGCAGCCAAAAUGUUGCUUGAUGGUGAAAUUGGAGCCAAAGGCCUAAUGGGGCCCUUUUCAAAGGAGAUCUAUGGACCAAUUUUGGAGCGAAUUAAAGCAGAAGGCAUUAUAUAUACUACACAGAGUACAAUUAAACCAUAAUUGGGAAUUAUAUUUUGUUUUUUUCUUCCCAGGCAAUACACCUCUGAACAUGUGUGUGAUAAAUGGGUUUGCUAAUGUGCUGUUUUAAAGUAUAAAGCAUAAUAUGUUUUGGUUAACACAAUGUACUUUUUGAACUAUAAAUCUUUAUUUUAGUAUGGAAAUGUUUGGAACAGGAGAUGCAAGCCACUAACAGAGAACUUUAAUAAUUCUACCCUGUAUUUUAUAAAUACGUAUGUGAAAGUGA